rnacentral:tRNA from 1 species
AAGCUAUCUCCUGGGGAAGAAUUUGUCUUGAAAACAAAUCAUAAGUGUUCGAUUCACUUGAUAGCUUU